ensembl:lncRNA
GCGUGCUGCGAAUCACGGGGUCGCAAAGAGUCAGACACGACUGAGCAACUGAACUAACUAACUGCAUCAGGCAGGACCCAAGGGGCCCCUGUGGAUGCCGGCCAGUGGCCCAGGGUCUCUGUUCCACGACGGGAGCCUCCUCUCUUGCGGGACAGCCCAGCAGAGUGACAGGACCAGGUCACGGUCACGGCUACGAGGGCGGCGCUCCUGGCCACCGAGACGAUGCCGAGCCCUGGGCCGGUCCUGGGCUCUAAAGGAGCUUCAGUGGGCAGAGGAAACCAGGAUUUUGGCCAGCAACACAAACGCGACCGCUGCUCGUGUGGGACAGGGGGCAGGCCGGUGCGGCCUCGCACCUCGCUGGGGAGAACGUAAAAGGUUCUGCCCCUUGGGACGGAAUCCUCGGGUCAACCUGGACGUCCACGCCUCACAGCUCUGCUGCGGGGCCACCCAAGCUGGACUGUGGCCCUGUCUUCCCUGGGGACACACCCUAGAAUGUCCUCAGAGGCACCAUGUGUAGCAGCCAAACCAGGAAACAGCCCGAAUGUGACAGAAGGACGUGGGCUCUCAGUGACAAGCAGCUGGCCGGCAGCCCCCCGCUUUCUGCAGGACGGGAGUGGGGCCUGGGGAGCCCUCGGACCCUGCACAGAAGCCUCCUGGUGGGGCCCGGCCAGGGCACCUAGAGGGGCUCUGCAGGUUGCUGCCCCCAGAGCGGCUGUGGUCAGGGCUGUGUCCUGCACCCCUUCUGACCUCACCCCUGUGAGCCGUCACCCAGGACCAGGCAGCGGUCCCAGAUGUGGCAGCUGCAGGUCCCACCCAGAGGCCCCACGAGACAGGACCACCAGGACUGGGAGAGCCAGGACCAGGACCAGGGCUGGGAAGACUCAGCUCCCUCAGCCCAUUGAGGAGCCAGGGUCUUGCUCCCCGCCAGCCUGGCGUCCCCAUCGCAGCUCUGGGGACCCUCACACACCUGGGCCUCGGCCUCCCCAGAGCCAUUCCCCAGCCCCAGGUGCCUGUGACGCCCACCUGAGCCCCCAGCCUGGGCCCUCCCGCCUGGCGGGCUCCUCUGGCCCAGUGAGAGGGCCCAGCCCAGGGGAACACCACUC